rnacentral:rRNA from 1 species
GACGAACGCUGGCGGCGUGCUUAACACAUGCAAGUCGAACGGAGCGAAUGAAAGCUUGCUUUUAUGAGCUUAGUGGCAAACGGGUGAGUAACACGUAGACAACCUGCCGACAGGAUGGGGACAACAUUCCGAAAGGAAUGCUAAUACCGAAUGAAGCGGAGGAGAGGCAUCUCUCCUCCGUGAAAGAUGGCCUCUGAAUAUGCUAUCACCUGUCGAUGGGUCUGCGUCUGAUUAGCUAGUUGGUGAGGUAACGGCUCACCAAGGCGACGAUCAGUAGCCGGUCUGAGAGGAUGAACGGCCACAUUGGGACUGAGACACGGCCCAGACUCCUACGGGAGGCAGCAGUGGGGAAUCUUCCGCAAUGGGCGCAAGCCUGACGGAGCAACGCCGCGUGAGUGAAGAAGGUCUUCGGAUCGUAAAGCUCUGUUGACGGGGACGAACGUGCGAAGGGUGAAUAA